CCUACGAGCGGCAGCAGUGGGGAAUAUUGCACAAUGGGGGAAACCCUGAUGCAGCGACGCCGCGUGAGUGAAGAAGUAUUUCGGUAUGUAAAGCUCUAUCAGCAGGGAAGAAGAAAGACGGUACCUGACUAAGAAGCCCCGGCUAACUACGUGCCAGCAGCCGCGGUAAUACGUAGGGGGCAAGCGUUAUCCGGAUUUACUGGGUGUAACGGGAGCGUAGACGGCUGUGCAAGUCUGAAGUGAAAGCCCAGGGCUCAACCCUGGGACUGCUUUGGAAACUGUGGAGCUAGAGUGCUGGAGAGGUAAGUGGAAUUCCUAGUGUAGCGGUGAAAUGCGUAGAUAUUAGGAGGAACACCAGUGGCGAAGGCGGCUUACUGGACAGUAACUGACGUUGAGGCUCGAAAGCGUGGGGAGCAAACAGGAUUAGAUACCCGAGUAGUC
rnacentral:rRNA from 1 species